rnacentral:lncRNA from 1 species
AGGCAAGUUUCUCAGAAAAAGAAUUUAAACUUCUUAUUCGAUUUAAUCAUCUAAAAUUGAAAGCAGUAAUCAAUAUAAAAACGAAGAGGGGUAUAGAAAAUAUUGCCUCUGUGAAUCAAUUAUGUUGUUACCUAUGGCAUUCGGAUCAGGCAAGUUUCUCAGAAAAAGAAUUUAAACUUCUUAUUCGAUUUAAUCAUCUAAAAUUGAAAGCAGUAAUCAAAAUAAAAAACAAGAGGGGUAUAGAAAAUAUUGCCUCUGUGAACUCAAUUAUGUUGUUACCUAUGGCAUUCGGAUGCUUUUCACCAAAUAUAUAUUGCCCGCAUGUAUUUAUGUUCAUUGUAUAUAUUGGCUAAUGUGUAUUCUGCUUACAACCGUUGGAGGAGAUUAAUGGUCCUCUCAUGGUCAUGAAAGUUUAACUGAAUAUUCUGCAGCCUGAUACGUAUGGAUGCCCUCAAUGUCAAGCACCAAAGAAGAGAUUUGCACCAUAUGAUGUAAAUACUGGCAAAGCUAUCGGCGGAGGGCUACCUCCAAUUGGGGUCAUUAUUGGGCUGCUGGCAGGUGUUGGAGCUGUUGGAGCAUUGCUUGUUU